CGCGGCGUGGAGCAGUGGCAGCUCGGCGGGCUCAUAACCCGAAGGUCGAUGGUUCGAAUCCAUCCGCCGCUACCA
rnacentral:tRNA from 1 species